GGUUGCGAUCAUACCAGUACUAAUGCACCGAAUCCCAUCACUCCGCAGUUAUGCGUGCUUGGGCGAGAGUAGUACCAGGAUGGGUGACCCGUUGGGAAGUCCUCGUGUUACAACCC
rnacentral:rRNA from 1 species